UUUCCCCCCUUUUCUUUCCUUUUGAUUUUCCUUUAUUUUUAAGUUGUAAGCUAGUAACAAUCUUGCAAAAGGAAUCUACUGUAAGGACCUCAGUUUAGAAGUGUGAGCAUUUCGUUAAUCAGGUAAAACUUAACCACAAUGUGACACAUUUAGUGAUAGCCUCACAAGAUCCUGUGCUGUGUUGUGAGUGAAGCAUCAGGAGUGAGCAGGUAUACGUGACUGGAGAGAUCCUUGGCUGUAGAAGUGUUCAGCUGUUGGACUGAUGCAGUGACAACCUGCGAGUCCCUUUUUUCCUCUUUCCACCUUCUAGUCUCCCUCCAGCGCCUCCUCUUAGCAGAACCUAACCAGAAAUCAGCCGACAAAGGAGUCUGGGAACCAGUGUCCUGUGGCCAUAUUCUGCUGAUGGAGAAAUGGGAUCUCAGCCAGGGAAAAUGACUUGCC